ensembl:lncRNA LINC02127 long intergenic non-protein coding RNA 2127
GGUGUGUCUUAUGGGGAGGUGCUUCUGGCCCUGACCUGUUUUAGCUAGUCUUCAAUUAGGUCUGGUGUCCAAGCCCCACCUCCAGAGUUGAGUUCUGCCUCCUGCCACAAUAGGAGAGUAAAUGGAGCUCUCCUGGAAAGGCUAGAUGGGGACGACCAGGAGAGGGUCCCGAGCAGUGGAGUGAGCAAAUCUAAGCCCUGCAGAUGGCUGCGGAUGCUGCUGCCCCAAUGCCUGCACAGGGUGAAAAGAAACCGCCAGGAAAUGGUGCAUUUUCCUGCUGCACCUUCCCACUCACCCACUUUCUUCUCCUCAUAAUCAACUGAACCUCCAAACUAAAAAAACACCUGCAGAAUAGACCAAGAAGUCCUUUUCCCUUCUGAUCCCUGAAUGGAAAGGAAUGCUAUGCACACUUUUUGGAUACAGGAAGUGAGAUUCAGAGGGGUUAAACAGCUUUCCUAAAGCCACACAGCGAGAGAGUCGAUCUGAACUGAAGAUUGUUUGACAUCAAAGCUCAUUUCUUUCCCUAAAUGUCAGCAUUCUUUCCUGACUUAUUAAUUUGAUUUCUGUCCUCCCCUCAUGGAAGUUAAUUAAAGGAAUGCGAGAACCUUUUAGAAAAUCU